rnacentral:lncRNA from 1 species
CUCUGCCCUUUGGACCGGCCACCCCUCGGGCCCCCACCCUCCGGGGACUCCCAACUCACACUGCCUCGCAGGGUCCUGGGGCUAAGGGUCCGCAGGCCCCUAGCCUGGGCCGCCGGGUGCGGACCCGGCCCUGGUCCGGCCUCUGGCCUGGAAGAGGGAGCCGCUGUCCCGGCUGUCCCGGGAAGACGAGACGGAGCUGGCUCGACGCACCAAGCGGGAGGCCUUCCCACAAGCCCCACGCAGUGCCCGCACCCGGAACGAGCGGUCCAGGGACAGGUAGAUGAUGGGGUUGGCGCAGCUGUUGAUGAAGGCCAGGCAGGCGGACAGCGUGAGACCCCAUCGCAGGGCCAGGAGCAGCGGGCAGGGCAGUUCCAAGACCCCAAGGCGGCUGAGGUGGUAGAAGGCCCUCAGGAGGCUCAAGGGCAGCCAGGACCCCACGAAGGUGCCCACCACGGCGAAGAUGAUCCUGAGGGAGUUUUUCCGGUGCCGGCCCAAGCCGUGGUGCUGCCGCAGCCUCCGGGAAAUGAGGCAGUAGCAGAAGAGGAUGACGGCCAACGGGAGGGCAAAGGUGAAGACCAGCAGGGCCAGGCUGAGGCUCUGAAAGGCGUCCGAGGCCUCCUCCCCGCACAAGCUGCCCGAGGCCCGGGCGGCCGGCUGCAGCUUCCGGAAGACCAGAGAAGGGAUGCCAGCCAGCAGGGAGAUGGCCCAGAUGACCCCGCAUGCGCUGACCACGCAGCCCGGCGUCCGCAGGGGCCGCACCUCCAGCAUCUUGACCACGACCAGAUAGCGGUCCAAGCUCAUCCCGGCCAGCAGCAGGGCACUGGAGCAGCGGUUGACCGCCAUGGCGAAGCUGCUCAGCUUGCAGAGCCCCUCGCCGAAGGGCCAGUGGUUUCCCAGGCCCGCGGCCGCCGCCCAAAGGGGCAAGGUGCACACGAACACCAGGUCCGCCACGGCCAGGUGCAGCACGAACGUGUCCACCAGCCGCCGGGGGCCCGGCUGGCCCACCAUGAGUGCCACCACGAAGCCGUUGCCCACCAGGCCCACGACAAAGGCGGCCAGGUAGAGGGCCGGGAUGUAAGCGUAGCCGUAGGGCAGCUCUGGCGUGGGGCACCAGGGCAUCACCGUACCCCCCACCUCCUCGUAGUCCCCCCACCCGCUGUAGGGCCCGAGCCCGCCAGGGGAGCUCGGGCCCCAGGUCUGGCUGGUCAUGGAGAGGGCAGCAGCUGCGGGACCAGGGGCCGAGGUGGUGCUGGCACCGCUGCCCGCUGA